AUCAGGUAAAAAUGGCAAUAGUUCAUAUUGCUUUUUAAAACUGAAAAUAAUGUGCUGCUGUGUGACAGAUUCCCUUCAUAUAAAAAUUAGAUGUGGGAGACGAGAGAUUUUUGUUGAGGUCUCCUCCCAGCCUGCUGCUAUUCUGCUUGGAAAGAUACCUUUUGGAUAAUGGGGCUUUCCAUCAUCAAGCCCAGAGCUGCAAACAGAAUGGAAACAACUUCCAUUCCAACUUUACUCCAAGUAGUGCCAGAAUCUGCAUCGAACCAUGAUUCCAGCACACUGAUGUUUCACCAGAUGAUGUUGCUUCAUCUUCCAAAUCCCUCGGUAAAUUAAGGUGCCAUCUGAGAUUGGUGUGCAGAGAGAGGCCACUUGGGAGCAAUCUCAUCAAGAUUCAGGUUCCCUCACAUUGCUAGCAGGGGGAAAAGCAGUCAACCGAACUUCACAGACUACAGGCAGAAUUAAUGUACAUCUAUAAGAAUGAAUCCAUCUGGACCUCUCCCAGAGUCUCAAAAUAUAAACUGGAAGAUAUCCAAUAUGUACAGUAGUUCAAAGACCGUUGAACAGUACAAUACAUAUUGUGCUUUUUGCUGCAGGAGGACUAGCCUUUUUGCUUUAAAAUUAUAAUCCCUAAGCAAACUUUUGAUUUUUACAGAACUUUUUCUUAGGUUGGGCAUUAAAAAAACUUCAUGGUGUUAAAAAACUGCAAAAUAUAAAAUUUUAGGAUGAAAUAGAGAAUGCAUUUGCAAAUUGUAAAAUCAAGUGUAUAAAAAAAUUAUCCAGACAAUGAAAUAAUCAUUUCCAAAUAAGGUGUAGUUAUUAGGUUGUUUUUUAAUGGAGAAAUAUUGUAAUUUCAGAUCUUUAAAUUAAGUAUCCUGGAAAGGAUAGAGGUUUGGUUUCUUUUUAAAUAUCAAAUUAAAUUUAAUGCUUCAACUCAAAGUCUUCUAUCUCCCUCUGCUGGAUUAUAAUAAAAUUACUUUCACCUGGCAUUUUGUUCUAGUUCCAGGUUCCAAGAAGCAGCAUUUAUAACCAUUGGACUUGCCACAGACAGAUAAGCAUACACAGACCAAAAGAACACAGAAGCAGAACCUCAAAGCAGAUGACAGAACAACCUAAACAACUAAAGAAGGACCAAAUUAUCACACUUCUCCCAGCAGACAGAGGCCAACUAUGGUUAUCAUGGACAGAAUAUAAUAUAUACAAAAAGCCAAAAAAGAAACCUACGGCCCAGUAAAUACCAACCCAACAUAAAACUGGACAACCUGGUCAAGAGAACUAUCAAUCAAGAAAGGUCAAAUCACAAAAAAAGAACAGUGGCAGAUGAGAAGCAGUGGAGCUGUUUACUGCUAUCUAUGGGUGCCCCAAAAUACACAAGCUUAGCAAUUAUACUGUUGCCAGGGACCCCAAAAAACAACAUAGCCAAAGAACUUCUAAAAACAAAGCUUGGACACUUCACAAAGAGGAGUGAAUGUUCUAUCAACUUCCCACUAGAAUGUGUCCAAAAAAAUCAAAGACUUAAAACUAGAAGAUGAAAGUAUGUUUUUAUUCAAUGUCACAGCACUCUUUGCAUCCAUGGAUCCAGAAUAAAAAAGGAACAAUUAAAGCAGACACUGAUAUGAAACUAUCAACAACAUUCUGAUAUGAAACUAUCAACAUUUUCAAAGGAAUAAAAUUUAUAAAGGAAGAAGAAAGCAUUACCCUACAAAUGAAAGCGAAUAUAUGUGUCCUAGGAUAAUGUUGCAGGAUCCAAUCUUGGUUGGUCACCGGGACCAGAGGUUUUGUCUUCCAAACUUUUGGACUCAUGCUGGAGCCCACCUUCAGGGAUUCGUGAACUAGAAUACCAUCAAACCUUAAAUCAUUUCAAUCCUUUAAGUAAAGUUUAAAUUUCACAUGUUAUAAGACAAACAAGUCUUAUUUAAUUAACAUUCAAUUAAUUAUUG